GGGGGUGAUCGGUUUCGACGUUGUACGGCCAAUCAGGGGAAGCGGGUCGAGGACGCAAGGUCAUCUCGUCAACGCUCCUUGCAAAACCAAUAGGUGCCGAUUCCAAGCGCACCGACUUCGCCCUCGCCGCCUGAGCGAGUUCGCAAGUCCGUCAGCCUGAGCUAGUUCCCGACUCAGUGCCUGGCGUCAUCUAGGGGACUUGCUGCGCGACCUUGUCGAGGGGUCGCGUGGGACUCUUACUCGACUGGGCCUGUCAGGGAACGUGUGCGUGCGAGCCCUGGGGCCGAGAAAAUCCGUAGCGCACUGCACCCGGAGAAGCCCUGGUUCCCCGGCAGCGGACGCGGGUUCGAUUCCCGCCACCUCCACCA
rnacentral:tmRNA from 1 species